rnacentral:ncRNA from 1 species
AAUAAGUUUUAUUCUUGCUUGUUCAUUUGAUUUGUGCUUGUUCUAUAUGUAAGUUUUUGUGUGUGUAUGGUUGGGCUCUUGAUGGGUUUAAAUAUCGUUGUUAUUAUUUCUCAUUAGUUAUUAUUGGUUGUUUAGGUUUUUCUUUAUCCAGCAAUUUGCUUUAGUUUCGGUUAAAUUUGGUGCCAGCAGUCGCGGUUAUACCUUGGAAGCGAUUUAAUGUGUUCGGUGUAGGUAGUUAUAUUAUUGUCAAUUUGUUUGGAUGUUUUUUUAUGGUUAUUGGGUGAAAUUUUUAUUGUUGUUGUUGUCUCUCUUUUUGUUUGGAAGCUAUGAAAUUCUUUGUUAUAAACUAGGAUUAGAUACCCUAUUAUUUUUGAAUGUUAAUCUUUCCUGAGUAGUAUUAGUUAUGUUCUUGAAACUUAAAGAAUUUGGCGGUAUCUUAUUCCGUUCAGAGGAAUCUGUCUCGUUAUCGAUAGUCCACGUUGGACCUUACUUAAUUGCUUUGGUUUGUAUACCGCCGUUUAUUGAUUAUCUUUUUAGAGGUUAAAAAUUUUCUGGUUCCUUUAUUUUGUCUUAUUUCAGGUCAAGGUGCAGCUUGUUUUUAAGUGGUAUGAUGGAUUACAUUGGUAUUUGUUUAUUGGAUUGCUAGUUUAUAGGCUAGCAUGAAAUUGGAUUUGGUUGUAAUGUUCUGAAGAUUGUUUUCGUGAUAAGUGGUUCUAAGAUAUGCACACAUCGCCCGUCGCUCUCGUUUAGUUUAUUAAUGAGAUAAGUCGUAACAAAGUGGUUGUACCGGAAGGUGCGGCUGGAAUGAA